GUACACUCCUGCGGGAGGCAGCAGUGGGGAAUUUUGGACAAUGGGCGAAAGCCUGAUCCAGCAAUGCCGCGUGAGUGAAGAAGGCCUUCGGGUUGUAAAGCUCUUUUGUCAGGGAAGAAACGGUGAAAGCUAAUAUCUUUUGCUAAUGACGGUACCUGAAGAAUAAGCACCGGCUAACUACGUGCCAGCAGCCGCGGUAAUACGUAGGGUGCAAGCGUUAAUCGGAAUUACUGGGCGUAAAGCGUGCGCAGGCGGUUUUGUAAGUCUGAUGUGAAAUCCCCGGGCUCAACCUGGGAAUUGCAUUGGAGACUGCAAGGCUAGAAUCUGGCAGAGGGGGGUAGAAUUCCACGUGUAGCAGUGAAAUGCGUAGAUAUGUGGAGGAACACCGAUGGCGAAGGCAGCCCCCUGGGUCAAGAUUGACGCUCAUGCACGAAAGCGUGGGGAGCAAACAGGAUUAGAAACCCCAGUAGUCCCA
rnacentral:rRNA from 1 species